rnacentral:rRNA from 1 species
GCUUUCGAUGGUAGUGUAUUGGACUACCAUGGCAGUCACGGGUAACGGAGAAUUAGGGUUCGAUUCCGGAGAGGGAGCCUGAGAAACGGCUACCACAUCUACGGAAGGCAGCAGGCGCGUAAAUUACCCAAUCCUGAUUCAGGGAGGUAGUGACAAGAAAUAACAACUCGGGGCCUCACGGCUUACGAGAUUGCAAUGAGAACAAUUUAAAUCUCUUAGCGAGGAACAAUUGGAGGGCAAGUCUGGUGCCAGCAGCCGCGGUAAUUCCAGCUCCAAUAGCGUAUAUUAAAGUUGUUGCAGUUAAAAGCUCGUAGUUGAAUUUCUGAUUAUGGAUGUAGCGGUUUCCGUUACAUUUGUAGUCAUCCACAUGAGAACCUUUCUCGGCCUUCACUGGUCGGUUGGGGGAUCAUGUACUUUACUUGUAAAAAAUCAGAGUGUUUCAGGCAGGCGUUGCAUGAAUACACAAGCAUGGAAUAAUGGAAUAGGACUAGGGUCCA